AAAGAACACUUCCAUUUCCAAGCAUUUGGUUCUGUCAUAUUUACACAUAAAAGCUGACCAUGACCACCGUAAAUGCCCCCGUGUGUCUGCUCGCUCGGAAUGAGUUUUAUCGGAGUAUCUACCCAACAGACAAAAUGAAGGCAGCCAGUAGUCUUUCUGAUAACUUAAUGGAACCAAAGCAAAGACAAGUGACUGUCUGGUUGACCAAAUCCAAACUCCAAGAUUUCUCAGGGCCUAUGAACAAUCGCUGGACAAUAAAUUUGGGUUUAAGGAGCCAGACAUCAAGCGAAACCCCUUCCAAACGGAUAGGUCCUGCUGAUUGUGUGGUCAAGUAGACACCUGCACAAUAAUAUUGCAUAGAGUGCUGGGGGUAAAAAGGUUGCUGAUUAUUAGCUUUUCUUUUUUUUGCAUUGGCCACAGAAGACUUGCAUGUUAGAAAACAACAAAACUUUUGAACAGGUGUAUAAUUAUACUGUGUAAUAUCCAUUUAGUCAUGUGUUGCAUUCACUCUGCUUAAUUUACGCAAAGCAUAUUCCCACCAGCAGUAUGAGGAAGAGAUGGACCGCUCCUAAAUAAUGAAUUAGAGAAAUUACAGCUUACAAUAUGACUAUAGGAAGAUGGUCUAGCUUGAAGUUUUUUUAAGAUAGCCAUUACCUGUUUUUUUUAUUAUUAUUUUGCAUGCGCCUCAGCUGGACCAACCUGAAAUGUAACGUGAUUUGACAAAGAAUAAUUUAUAAUAUUGUUUUUAAUUUUGGAGAUCUUGCUCUUUCAUCAUUCAAAUUCAUAAGAAAUUUAUCUAUUGCGUUAAUAGAAAAUAGCCAAUGGCAAAUUGAGAAAAUGGAUUUGUCUUUAAUUACUAUUCUACAUUUUAAAAAGUAGUAAAGUAAACUACCAAUCACAGCACCUGUCACGUCUCUUAGUUGGGACCUGUGGCUGCGAACAAAGGAAAAAUGAAGCCUGAAAAAGAACAGAGUCAGCAUGCCACAAAGAGGCUUUUCCAUGUAUCUAACCUACCAUCGGAACUUGGUGACCUGGAAAAUCCAUGUACACAUGGGAACAAAGCCAUACAACGUCAUCUCUACAGAACAAGUUUCCAUUAAUCAUUGUUUGGUCUACCGCCCA